AACCUUUUGCAGUUCAUAAGCGUUAUGAUUGGGUUUUCAUGUGCAUGCGUGAGAUGUGCAGCCCACAAAUCUUGUUACAAGGUCCAAAUGUCACCCGUCUGAUG
ensembl:snoRNA